AACGAACGCUGGCGGCAGGCUUAACACAUGCAAGUCGAACGCCCCGCAAGGGGAGUGGCAGACGGGUGAGUAACGCGUGGGAACAUACCCUUUUCUACGGAAUAGCUCUGGGAAACUGGAAUUAAUACCGUAUACGCCCUACGGGGGAAAGAUUUAUCGGGGAAGGAUUGGCCCGCGUUGGAUUAGCUAGUUGGAGGGGUAAAGGCCUACCAAGGCGACGAUCCAUAGCUGGUCUGAGAGGAUGAUCAGCCACAUUGGGACUGAGACACGGCCCAAACUCCUACGGGAGGCAGCAGUGGGGAAUAUUGGACAAUGGGCGCAAGCCUGAUCCAGCCAUGCCGCGUGAGUGAUGAAGGCCUUAGGGUUGUAAAGCUCUUUCACCGAUGAAGAUAAUGACGGUAGUCGGAGAAGAAGCCCCGGCUAACUUCGUG
rnacentral:rRNA from 1 species